rnacentral:rRNA from 1 species
GACAGGGGGUGCAAACGUUGCUCGGAAUCACUGGGCGUAAAGCGCACGUAGGCGGUCUCGUAAGUCGGGUGUGAAAUCCCACAGCUUAACUGUGGAACUGCGCCCGAUACUGCGGGGCUUGAGGAUGGGAGGGGAGAGCGGAAUUCCAGGUGGAGCGGUGAAAUGCGUAGAUAUCUGGAGGAACACCGGUGGCGAAAGCGGCUCUCUGGUCCAUUCCUGACGCUGAGGUGCGAAAGCUAGGGGAGCAAACGGG